rnacentral:rRNA from 1 species
GAACCUGCGGAGGGAUCAUUACACAAAUAUGAAGGCGGGCUGGAAUCUCUCGGGGUUACAGCCUUGCUGAAUUAUUCACCCUUGUCUUUUGCGUACUUCUUGUUUCCUUGGUGGGUUCGCCCACCACUAGGACAAACAUAAACCUUUUGUAAUUGCAAUCAGCGUCAGUAACAAAUUAAUAAUUACAACUUUCAACAACGGAUCUCUUGGUUCUGGCAUCGAUGAAGAACGCAGCGAAAUGCGAUAAGUAGUGUGAAUUGCAGAAUUCAGUGAAUCAUCGAAUCUUUGAACGCACAUUGCGCCCUUUGGUAUUCCAAAGGGCAUGCCUGUUCGAGCGUCAUUUGUACCCUCAAGCUUUGCUUGGUGUUGGGCGUCUUGUCUCUAGCUUUGCUGGAGACUCGCCUUAAAGUAAUUGGCAGCCGGCCUACUGGUUUCGGAGCGCAGCACAAGUCGCACUCUCUAUCAGCAAAGGUCUAGCAUCCAUUAAGCCUUUUUUCAACUUUUGACCUCGGAUCAGGUAGGGAUACCCGCUGAACUUAA